UUUUGGUUUACAGUAGGACCAAUUUAUUUGCAAAAUAAAGUCUUAGACUUGUUAUACUUGGCCUGAGUAUUUGACUAAAGUACAGCCAGAAUUGUACUUGGCCAUCUGAGCACUUUUUAAAUUGACUUGACUGAAACUUUUUUUAUAAGGAAUUUCAGGUUCAAUCUUUAAAAGCCUCUUAAGAUUGGAAGCCAGGCCAGCAAUUCACCAUCAGAUUUUGCCUGUAAUACUUGUAUGAAUUGGGUAAAUCCCUCUUUUUUGAGGUCCCCAAAAUAUCCUGAAGUUCCUGGGCUUGUCAGAAAAUGGUAUUCUUUACUUACUGCAAGGCUAUAAACCUUGUAAUAUGGUUUGGCUUUGUGUCCCCACCUAAAUCUUCUUGAAUUGUACUCCCGUAAUUCUCAUAUGUUGUGGGGGGGUUGCGGGGGCAGGGACCGGGUGGGAGAUAAUUUGAAUCAUGGGAGCGGUUUCCCCCAGACUGUUCUCGUGGUAGUGAAUAAGUCUCACAAAAUCUGAUUUUUUCAGGGGUUUUCACUUUUUCAUCAUCCUCAUUUUCCCUUGGUGCCACCAUGUAAGAAGUGCCUUUCGCCUCCUGCCAUGAUUCUGAGGCCUUCCCAGCCAUGUGGAACUGUAAGUCCAGUUAAACAACUUUUUCCUCUUAGUUGCAGGUAUGUCUUUAUCAGCAGCAUAAAAAUGGACUCAUACACCUUGUAGGAGAACCAUGUAGACAACGUAUCAGGCCAGUUCUUCCAAAGGUUUAACAGCUUCUUAGUUCCUCAAAGCAAUCUGGUCAACUUAGGGUCAGGAUCGUCACUGUUGCUGUCUUCCACCUCCACACCCUGUCCCACUGGAACAUCUUCAGGGGCAGUAACAGGCAUGGAGCUGCCAUCUCCUGUGAUAGCGAUGCCUUCUUCUGGAAACCUCUUGAUGGACCUGCCUUGUCAGAUUUCUGCAUAAAACCAUGGCCCGGGUAAGUUUUGUUGCAGAAGUGGAGAACAGAUCUGGAACCUGCCUGAGGUCAGCCUGGGAGUGGUGAUUCCACAGUGGGGUCCACAGUGCAGCCCGAGCCCAGGGGCAUCCAGUCUCCUGAAUGAACUCCAGGGUCUCCCAGUGGAAGGGACAAGCUCUGCCACUUUCUCCAUGAGGUCAGCUUGCACGGAGAGACUCUUAGAAUCCCAAGCUUGGUCUGGGUUUUCUUGAAUCUAAGCCUAAGUGAGGCAUAAUUUGCAGGUUUCGCUGCUUGUUAAUCAGUUUAUUUUCUCCUGCAACUUUCUAAAUGUAGCUAUGGCACAGCAGCCCUGGAAUGACAACCGGAGACUUUGUGCUUGCAAAAGCUUAUCCUUCUUUGCUGGGAGUUCUGGGAUAACGUGUAAGUGUGUGCAUUUUGGGGCGGAAAGAGGGCAGAGGGCAGAAGGCAUUUAUGAGUUUCCCCCUCCUCUCAUCUCUCUUAGAUGUCUGUGUGUUAUCUUUUCUUGGCAGAGGUCGGAUCAGAAAACGCCAUAUGCUAGUUCACAGGGAAUUUCCAAAGAGCAGCUAGCUCCAGUUGGUUGCUAAGAGACAGCUCCACAGCUGGACUUUGGCUGCAAAAUUUGAACAAAAAAAGAAGAGCACAAAUGAGCUUGCCAGGUAACAGAAUCUGCGAUGACUUCCCGUCCUGUUUGCUGGCAUCUGUGCUUCCAGAAGCAAUAAAGCAUCACUUUCCUGCUUGUGAUUUACAUGAGGAGAAACAGGCAGACACUCUUCUCCAAGGGGUUUCCUGACCAGCCUUGAAUCUGCUAGCCAGAGCCUAGCAGGACUCUGAGACAAUGAGAUUCCUGAUGCUGGUAAUGAAUGAAGGACAAUGAGAUUCCUGAUGCUGGUAAUGCAUGAAGAAAGAUCAGAGUUAUAAGUGGACUAUGCUUCCAUCCUCCCAAGAGUUCUCCUGGGGUUAGUUUAAAGACAGGGGAUUAACUCUAUUAAAAGUAGAUUUGGCAAAAAGCUGAAAUCAAACACAUGCUUAUGAAUAGGGAACGGGUGAAAUAAGUCAUGGUACAUCCACAGAAUGGAGUAUUACUUAGCUAUAAAUAGACAUGAAGAAUCAUCCACAGAAUGGAGUACUACUUAGCUAUAAAUAGACAUGAAGAAUACUUUUAUGUUUAAAAAGUAUUCAUGUUGCUUUUUCUCCAGGAUGAAAUUUUAAGUUAAAAAAAUUGAAAUUGGCCGGGCGUGGUGGCUCACGUCUGUAAUCCCAGCACUUUGGGAGGCUGAGGCGGGUGGAUCACGAGGUCAGGAGAUUGAGACCAUCCUUGCUAACACGGUGAAACCCCAUCUCUAUUAAAAACAAAACAAUACAAAACAAAAAAAUUAGCCGGGCAUGGUGGCGGGCGCCUGUAGUCCCAGCUACUCGGGAGGCUGAGGCAGGAGAAUGGCAUGAACCUGGCGGAGCGGAGAUUGCAGUGAGCCGAGAUCGCGCCACUGCACUCCAGCCUGGGCAACAGAGCAAGACUCCAUCUCCAAAAAAAAAAAGUUGAAAUUAUGUGUACAAUAGGUUACUAUGUCUUUGAGAAAAAUUUGGGUGAUAAAAACAAAUAAAUUUUCUCAUUUUUAAAAGGUCACAAAUCAUAUUUUAAAAAUUGUUUACCUAUGAGUCAAGGAAGAGGAUAUUUUGCAAAGCACCUAGAAAAGCUCGUUUGAACUGAAAAGAGAGUACAGCACAGGCUCAGGACUGCUCACUGGGUGCAGACACACAGAACAGAACCCAGUGGCACUGCCAAGGCUUUGACAUUGGGAAUGACAUUGAAGCCACAACCACGGAAGGUUUCAGAACGUGCGGCCUGAACUCAACCUUGCUGCUUGCCUGCCGAAGCAAGAACACCAGGAUUCUCCACGGGAUUUAAAUGAGACCUACAGUGUCAUAGCAUAAUAUUCAAAUACCCAGGAUAUGAUCCAUCUUAUCUGAUCUAGAAAGAAACAGGAAAAGUCUCAACCUAUAUCAGAAAAAAAAACAAUAAACAUGACAACACUGAGGAGACACAGAUUUCGAAUUAUCUGAUAAAGAUUUAAAGCAGUUAAUUAAAUGUUUCAACAAGCAGUAAUGAAUACUCUUGAAAUAAAUGGGAAAUA
rnacentral:lncRNA from 10 species